GUCAAGAGUAGUAUUUUUCUAUCAUUUUGGGCAGUAUUUUCUUAAAUUGAGGUGUAGAACAAAACACAACAAAAACAUGCUUGGCCCAUGAACAAAAUUAAAAACUGAAAAUAAUAAUUUCCAAAUUCGAAGUUAAUUAACCUUCUGUGAAGGUUAAUGUUCCGAAAACAGACAAAUAUAAGGAAGUAAUGUCAUGCCAAAUUUUUGCUUUCACUGCUCAAAGGCCAACAUUUUAAAACAAUAUAGGUAGUUAAAAUGAAAAAAGAAGAUGUUUAAUUCAUCACUUUUUGUUUAUUAAAUAAGAAAUUGAACCAUAUCACUUAUAGAACAAAACAACAAAAAUAAAAUACAUUCAUAAAAACAUAAAAUACAUAAAAAAAACUCAUCGCUACAAUAGGACUUAUCCAACAAAACAACAAAAAUAAAAUACAUUCAUAAAAACAUAAAUUACAUAAAAAGAGCUCAUCGCUAUAAUAGGACUUUUCGAACAAAACAACAAAAAUAAAAUAUAUUCAUAAAAUACAUACAAAAGUUCACCAUAACAAAAUGAUUGAACAAAACAACAAAAAUAAAGCCUUAAACCUAUAAAUAAAUAAAUUUUCAAUUCACAAUUCCAUGUUUCACAAACAUUAAUACAAUUUUUUGUAAUUUUCGAUUAAAGUUUUCGAUGGCUCCCAUUUUUCGGUGAAAUUGUUUUUAGGAAGUUCCUUAGCAGUUAGUAAGGCAUUCACCGUUUCUACCUUGAGUGAAUUUCUUUUUUUAUCCUUUAUUAGGCUUACAUCUGAAAAUUUUCUUUCUGCUGUUGCACUACUAUGGGGCAAACUGAUUAAUGAACCAACGAAUUUUUUAAUCAGAGGAAACAUUAAAUCAUUAUUUGCAUUUUUUAUUUGAAAUAUUUCGCUAUAAAAAGUCUCGAGAGGCAAGUCUUUGGAAACAAAGCAUUGGUUUCUAAAAAGCCGCCAUUCCUCAUCAAGUCUUUCGAUGUCAAGAUCAGUUGUUAAGUUUGGAAAUAAUGCCAUCAAUGUUACCAAACUAGGUGCUAAGUUUUUAGGGUCAAUCCCUUCCAAAGACAGUAGCACUUUAUCGUCAAAUUUUAUCCUGCACAUUACUUGUUUACAUAGUUCAACAUAGUAUGCUCUGCACUCAGUUUUUAUUUUAAUUAUUUCCUCAUCUGUCACUUUUUUUUGUAAAAUAAGCAUCUCUGCUUUUGCUCCGAUGUAAAUAUCAUUUUCAUUAAGGAAUGUUUCAUUACGAAAUUCAGUCUCGUGAAGUUUACUUUCAAAUAUAUACUCUGGUUUUAUAAAGUUGCGAAGAAUGGUUUCGAAUCAUCUCUAAAUAAAUGAUGUGAGCAGUGUCAGCAUUAUUAUCAAGCUCAUAAGCCAGAAAAAAAUGCUGAAGCACAAUCCAUUGCUCCAAUAUUCUGGCCACAACAUUUUCCAUAGACAGCCACCUUGUUGAAGACAUCCUCAAGAUAUUAUGUUCUGCAACCGAAAAGUCCUUCUGGAACUCUUCUAGCUCCUGCUUCCUUUUUGGGCUAUGAGCAAAAAACGAAUAAAUAUUUCUCGUUAAGAGUUCCAAAUUUGAGGGCAGUUUCUUUGAAGCUGCCGAUGAACACAAAUGCAUGGAAUGACAAAUGCAUCCUAUUACAUAGAGACUUGGAUUUUCUCUUUGUAACAGAGUUUUUACCCCAGCAUUUUUCCCCAUCAUUACGGAGGCGUUAUCAGACGCGAAUCCAAUUAAAUUUUUUAAAGAACUGCUGUCACUUUUUUCCAGCUUAAUAAGUGAAAGAAAUCUAUCUCUUACCUUACUUGCGAAAAAAUCAAAAUACCUGACUACGAGUACAAGGCAUUUGGAUGUGCUGAUGUCCGUUGUUUCAUCUAUGAUGAGUGAAAAAGAUUGGUUCUUCAAAAUCCUUGCAAGUUCCGUCAGCCCUUCAUCCAGAAACAAAGUAUUGAUGGUGUCGGUAGCCUUUGUUUUCCCACAAUGUAAGCCUUUAACGAUUUCGGAAUCUGGAGCUACUACCUUAAUUAAAGCAAUUAAGGCAGUUAUUAAACUGAACGGCAAGUUAUGUUCAACCAUAAACAUCAUAAUUCUCAGCUCGGCAGUUUUAAUUUUAUUUGUCCUCGACUGAAAUGCUUUCAAUAUUUUCGUGUUGUUAAUUUGAGGCUGCUGUCUUAGGCUUAGGGCUUGUUUCGUAUGUCCUUGGGAGUUUUGAUGCCGCAAAAGGUGAACCUUAUUAUUGGGCAAAAAAACUGAACAAUUUUUGCAAAAUGGUCUUGAGCUAUGUUCUGGGCCAACCUUCUCCUCCAACCAAGAGAAAGUUUCAAGCCAAGCGCGCCUGAAGUUUUGGAUGUUUUUCACAUUUUUAAUUGUGUUGUCUUCAUCAUCAUCGACAACGCUUUCGUCCUUCUUUCUUUUGUUUUGUGUACAAGAAAUUGAAGGAAGUGGAUUUUUGGACGUCGAAGGCUGAGGAGCAGAUUGAUUUAUUGCCAGAGGAUUUUGCUCUUUCGUAAAAGUGGACGAUGAAAGGGUAUCCAAUUGUUCGUUCUCCUUCGCUGUGCUUGCGGCAGGUUUUUUUUCUUUUCGUAUCAAAAAUCUAUUGAACACAAUUGAUUUUCUUAAAUAAAAUUAAUGAAAUAAUGUUUGCAUUCAUACCUAUCCAUUUUCUUCUAUUUAUUUAUUUGUAUAAAUAUUCAAUAUCCAAAAUCCAAUUGCAGAAUUUAAAAAUGACAAUCUUUUGAGUUUUGGGAAACGGUUAAAUGUGUACGGUAUUUUUUUGUAACUUUAUCUAUCUCACUCUUACCAUAUCACAUUUGUAAAAGAAAAGGAAAACGAAAAGGAAAACGAAAAGAGAAAACAUUUGGUAAUAGUGGAAUUUUGCAAUCUGGAAAGAAUGGAACGAACAUUUGGAAUGGAAAUAGAACACAACAGAGAUGUUAGUGGGUAAAUGCAAUCAGAGAUGUGCAAGUUUUGGCAUUAUAUUUUAAACGUUAAUUUUUAUUGUAAACCGAACAACAUUUCUUUUGCUUUUUAUUUUGGGGAGUAGUUUUCGGCCGUGGGUAGUAGAGUAGCAGUUGACUCUCGAAAGGAGUAAAAUACUACUAUAGUAGCA